GUUAUUUCAGUGCUUUCCAAAGGCAUAUCAUCAGGUUCUAUAGAAUCUGGAAAUGAAUGAUAUUAAGACUGUAGCGUACCAGCUGGUUGCGAACAUUUUAGGCCCGGCACCAGGAUACGCCUCACCUCGAACAGGUUAGGAGUACACUGACAUACCGAAGAGGAGGCCUCAAGGGUAAUAAAGCCAUCAGGAUCUUGUAACUACUGCACACAUGCACGUACGAGUCCUUGCAUUAACCCCCGGGAGCGGCUGCACAGCUGAAGCGGCAUCUCCUGUGCCUGGGCUCAGUUUUGCUGCUGCUCCUGGGGGUGAGAGGAGGAUCAGUCUUCAAAACAUGCGCUUCAGGGAAACCAGUAUUUGUCAAACAGUUCAAAAAUAAACGAGAUACCUGCG